CACGUAGGGUGCGAGCGUUGUCCGGAAUUAUUGGGCGUAAAGAGCUCGUAGGCGGUUUGUCGCGUCGGUUGUGAAAACCCAAGGCUCAACCUUGGGCCUGCAAUCGAUACGGGCAGACUAGAGUACUGCAGGGGAGACUGGAAUUCCUGGUGUAGCGGUGGAAUGCGCAGAUAUCAGGAGGAACACCGGUGGCGAAGGCGGGUCUCUGGGCAGUAACUGACGCUGAGGAGCGAAAGCGUGGGGAGCGAACAGG
rnacentral:rRNA from 1 species